rnacentral:rRNA from 1 species
GCCCUUAGAGUUUGAUCCUGGCUCAGAACGAACGCAUGGCGGCAGGCCUAACACAUGCAAGUCGAGCGAUCCCUUCGGGGAUAGCGGCGGACGGGUGAGUAACGCGUGGGAACGUGCCCUUUUCUCCGGAAUAGCCCAUGGAAACGUGGAUUAAUGCCGGAUACGCUCUUUUGGGGAAAGAUUUAUCGGGGAAGGAUCGGCCCGCGUUGGAUUAGGUAGUUGGUGGGGUAAUGGCCUACCAAGCCGACGAUCCAUAGCUGGUUUGAGAGGAUGAUCAGCCACACUGGGACUGAGACACGGCCCAGACUCCUACGGGAGGUAGCAGUGGGGAAUCUUAGACAAUGGGGGCAACCCUGAUCUAGCCAUGCCGCGUGAGCGAUGAAGGCCUUAGGGUUGUAAAGCUCUUUCGCCUGGGAAGAUAAUGACGGUACCAGGUAAAGAAGCCCCGGCUAACUCCGUGCCAGCAGCCGCGGUAAUACGGA